AAAGAUUAAAUUAAUAUUUUAUCUUAAUAUAAUCAAUUUUUAUAAAAAUAAUUUUUAUUUUAGUAAUUUUUAAUGAAUUUCUUUUUUAUAUUUAUAGAGAAUAAGUACUGUUAAGGAAUUUUAUUAUUUAAUUGAAAGUAAAUUUAUUUAUUGUACCUUUUGCAUCAGGGUUUAUUUAAUAUUAAUAAUUAUUUUAUAUUUCCCGAAAUUAUAAGAGAUAUUUUUUAGUUAUAUUAAAUGUGGUAAAAUUUUUAAUAACUGGGAGAUAGGAGUUAUAUGCUAUCCAUUUAUAAAUAUCUGGUUUUUUAAGAAAUGAAUUUAAUUCAUCUAUAAUUUAUUAUUAUACAAUUCUAUUUUUAUUAAUUUUUAUAGAAAAUUUUUAGGGGACAAGCUCUUAUAGUAAUUUAUAAGUUACCUCGGUAUUAUGUAAUGGGAUAAGAUUAAUAAUUUCUUAUUCUUAUACUUUGUUAUAAUUAAAUUACCUUAAUUAUUUUUAUUUAUGUAACUUUAAUUUAAUAUUAAAAAAAUAUAAUUAAUAUAACAUUAUAUGAUAUAAUGAUAAAAUUAGUAAAUAUAAUAUUAUAUUAAUAUAAACUAGGCAAUUCUUAUAUUCACCUGUUUAACAAAAACAUGUCCUAUUGAAUUAAUAUAUAUUAGGUCAGGCCUGCUCAGUGAUUAUUUUAACAGCUGCAGUAUUUUGACUGUGCAAAGGUAGCAUAAUCAUUUGUCUUUUAAUUGAAGGCUGGAAUGAAUGGUUUGAUGAAAUAUAAACUUUAUUCUUAUAUUUGAAUUGAAUUUAAUUUUUGUGUUAAAAAGCAUAAAUGUAAUUGAAGGACGAGAAGACCCUAUAGAACUUUAAUAAUUGAUUAUAAAAUAUUUGUAUUUGAUAUUAAUUAAACUUUUAUUUUUUAUAUUAUUUUUGUUGGGGUGACAGGAAAAUUUUAAAAACUUUUCUUUAUUUUAAAUUAUUAAUUAGUAUAAUUUUGAUCCUAAUUAUAGAUUACAAGAUUAAGUUACCUUAGGGAUAACAGCGUUAUUUUAUCGGAGAGUUCUUAUCGAUGAUAGAGUUUGCGACCUCGAUGUUGGAUUAAAAUUAGAAAUUGGUGUAGCAGUUAAUUUUCUAGGUCUGUUCGACCUUUAAAUUUUUACAUGAUCUGAGUUCAGACCGGCGUAAGCCAGGUUGGUUUCUAUCCUCAAUUUAUUUAAUUAUUUUAGUACGAAAGGACCAAAUAGUUUAAAUAAUUUAU
rnacentral:rRNA from 1 species